rnacentral:rRNA from 1 species
GAUGAACGCUGGCGGCGUGCCUAACACAUGCAAGUCGAGCGAUCUCUUCGGAGAGAGCGGCGGACGGGUGAGUAACGCGUGGGUAACCUGCCCUGUACACACGGAUAACAUACCGAAAGGUAUACUAAUACGGGACAACAUACGAAAGUCGCAUGGCUUUUGUAUCAAAGCUCCGGCGGUACAGGAUGGACCCGCGUCUGAUUAGCUAGUUGGUAAGGUAAUGGCUUACCAAGGCAACGAUCAGUAGCCGACCUGAGAGGGUAAUCGGCCACACUGGAACUGAGACACGGUCCAGACUCCUACGGGAGGCAGCAGUGGGGAAUAUUGCACAAUGGGCGAAAGCCUGAGGCAGCAACGCCGCGUGAGCGAUGAAGGCCUUCGGGUCGUAAAGCUCUGUCCUCAAGGAAGAUAAUGACGGUACUUGAGGAGGAAGCCCCGGCUAACUACGUGCCAGCAGCCGCCGCCGUAA